UGGGGAAUCUUGGACAAUGGGGGAAACCCUGAUCCAGCGACGCCGCGUGAUCGAUGAAGGCCCUCGGGUCGUAAAGAUCUUUCAGCGGGGACUAUAGUGAAGGUACCCGCAGAAGCAGGAGCGGCUAACUAUGUGCCAGCAGCCGCGGUAAUACAUAGGCUCCAAGCGUUGUUCGGAAUUACUGGGCGUAAAGCGAGUGUAGGCUGCUCGAUAAGUCGAUUGUGAAAUCUCCCGGCUCAACCGGGAGGGUGCGGUCGAAACUGUUGAGCUAGAGUCCGAGAGGGGAGAGUGGAAUUCCUGGUGUAGCGGUGAAAUGCGUAGAUAUCAGGAGGAACACCGGUGGUGAAGACGGCUCUCUGGAUCGUGACUGACGCUGAGACUCGAAAGCGUGGGGAGCAAACAGGAUUAGAUACCCCCGUAGUCC
rnacentral:rRNA from 1 species